UGACCUAAAUAAAUUUUGGCUGUGUCAUCCACCCCAAUAAAGAUUGUGCGUGGGUCCUCAACCCUUUCUCUGCAGGUGCACUGUUUAGACGUUAGUAGAAGACAUAAAGAGACAUUCAUACUUAUUUCAUCAUGUCUCUUUCUCUCUCGAUCUGAACAGUGUGCAAAAUAUGAUUCUCAAAAAGAACUAAGUAGACACUAAGACACAUAGUGGAUGGUGAAAUAAAAAGUAGUUAGCUACACUCACAUAGACCUCGCUUGCAGCUUAUUCGUAACUUUUGCUCAUGGAGGAAAGGGAGAAAAGGAAGGUCGAUCGCUGCUAGGUUGUGCUUUAUUUUCUCUAGCUAGUGUAGCGCUAAAUUAUACAAUUCAACAGAGAGGAGACGGUUUAUUUUCUUUCAACCCUUGUUUUUUUGUUUUCUUCAGUGAAAUCAAAUAAUAUCAAGAGGGCUACCUCUGCUGUAAGGAGCUAAACUCCACAUUCUCUUUAAGUAUUAUAAAUUUCACCUUAUUAAUGUAAUAAUUAAUAAAUGAUUUGAAAUUAAAUAUUAUUAUUUUACUUUA